rnacentral:tRNA from 1 species
AUUUGUAUAGUUUAAUAAAAAAAAACAUUUCAUUUUCAUUGAAAAAUUAAAUAAUAAUUAUUUUACAAAUA